AGAGUUUGAUCCUGGAUCAGGAUGAACGCUGGCGGCGUGCCUAACACAUGCAAGUCGAACGAAGCUCCUGCGACAGAAUCCUUCGGGAGGAAGAUGCUUGAGACUGAGUGGCGGACGGGUGAGUAACGCGUGGGUAACCUGCCCUGUACAGGGGGACAACAGUUGGAAACGACUGCUAAUACCGCAUAAGCUUACAGUACCGCAUGGUACAGUAAGAAAAAUUCCGGUGGUACAGGAUGGGCCCGCGUCUGAUUAGCUGGUUGGCGGUGUAACGGACCACCAAGGCAACGAUCAGUAGCCGGCUUGAGAGAGUGAACGGCCACAUUGGGACUGAGACACGGCCCAAACUCCUACGGGAGGCAGCAGUGGGGAAUAUUGCACAAUGGGGGAAACCCUGAUGCAGCAACGCCGCGUGAGUGAAGAAGUAUUUCGGUAUGUAAAGCUCUAUCAGCAGGGAAGAAAAUGACGGUACCUGACUAAGAAGCACCGGCUAAAUACGUGCCAGCAGCCGCGGU
rnacentral:rRNA from 1 species